rnacentral:lncRNA from 12 species
GCCAGAUGUAAGAGUCAGCUGAAGGAAGCUAUAGGCCAUAGCAGAGUUCUGUACAGGCAAUAUUCUGGGAAGAAGCUAUCCUUGCCAGAGAUACUACUAUGGUUGACCAGAACCACACUGCUCCUUUUUGAGGCUAUCAGCUGUGUCUGGAAUAUCCUCUGGAAAUCAGCAGGAGCACAGGGGCUAUGGAGCACGCUUGGCUGGCACAGGAACUGCAUCUUCUUAGAGGAGGGGGACACUGCUGAUCAGCUGAGGGGCAUCUGGCCGCUGCGAUGAUGGCACCACAUGGAUCAUUUCCUGUCAUUGACAGCAUGGAUCAGUCCACUUGUGUCUGAAGUAACACUUCCCUGUCUUUCUCUCCAGGAAACUGCUUUCAGACAGUAACUCUUCUUCCUCAGCUACUGUUAUAAAGCAGAAAUGAUCUGUGGAUUUGGUUUCCAG